rnacentral:pre_miRNA from 1 species
AGGGGAAUAGCUGGGUCAAAUGGUGGUUCCAUUUCCAGCUUUCUGAGGAACUCCAUACUGCUUUCCAAAUUGGCUGCACCAAUUUGCAGUACCACCAGCAAU